AAAGCUGAGAACGUGGGUUUUGCCUCCU
rnacentral:piRNA from 1 species